UGAACCAUUGAAGAGAGGAUAUCAUGAACCAAGGGUUAUGACUAAUCAAAUUCUGUACACCAGAGGUAGGUACAAU
rnacentral:snoRNA from 1 species